rnacentral:tRNA from 1 species
GGACCGUUGGAGUAGUGGUUAUCUCGCCAGACUCUCACUCUGGAGAAGGCCGGUUCGAUUCCGGCACGGUCUAC